rnacentral:rRNA from 1 species
UACAGAGGGUCCAAGCGUUGUCCGGAAUUACUGGGCGUAAAGCGUACGUAGGCGGUUUUGUAAGUUAGAGGUGAAAGCCCGGAGCUCAACUUCGGAAUUGCCUUUAAGACUGCAUCACUUGAACGUCGGAGAGGUGAGUGGAAUUCCGAGUGUAGAGGUGAAAUUCGUAGAUAUUCGGAAGAACACCAGUGGCGAAGGCGGCUCACUGGACGACUGUUGACGCUGAGGUACGAAAGCGUGGGGAGCAAACAGG